rnacentral:rRNA from 1 species
GAGUGAAGAGGGAAAAGCUCAAAUUUAAAAUCUGGCGGUGCUUUACUGUCCGAGUUGUAACCUAGAGAAGUGUAACCUGCACUGGACCAUGUACAAGUCUCCUGGAAUGGAGCAUCACAGAGGGUGAGAAUCCCGUCUUUGACAUGAACCGCCAGUGCAUUGUGGUUGUGCUCUCAACGAGUCGAGUUGUUUGGGAAUGCAGCUCUAAAUGGGUGGUAAAUUCCAUCUAAAGCUAAAUAUUGGCGAGAGACCGAUAGCGAACAAGUACCGUGAGGGAAAGAUGAAAAGAACUUUGGAAAGAGAGUUAAACAGUAUGUGAAAUUGUUGAAAGGGAAACGUUUGAAGUCAGUCGCGUUGGCUGGGGAUCAACCUGACAUUUUUGUUGGGUGUACUUCCUGGUUGACGGGUCAACAUCAGUUUUGACUGCCAGAAAAAGGUCAAGGGAAUGUGGCACCUUUGGGUGUGUUAUAGCUCUUGGUCAUAUAUGGUGGUUGGGACUGAGGAAAGCAGUGUGCCGAAAGGCCGGGUUUCGACCACGUUCACACUGAGGAUGUUGGCAUAAUGGCUUUAAGCGACCCGUCUUGAAACACGGACCAAGGAGUCUAACAUGCAUGCGAGUGUUUGGGUGGAAAACCCUUACGCGUAAUGAAAGUGAAAGUUGAGAUCCCUGUCGCGGGGAGCAUCGACGCCCGGACCAGAACUUUUGGGACGGAUCUGCGGUAGAGCAAGUAUGUUGGGACCCGAAAGAUGGUGAACUAUGCCUGAAUAGGGUGAAGCCAGAGGAAACUCUGGUGGAGGCUCGUAGCGAUUCUGACGUGCAAAUCGAUCGUCGAAUUUG